rnacentral:lncRNA from 1 species
UUUNUUUUUUUUUUUUUUUGGGCAUUUGGACCUGAAGAGAGUCCAAUAAUUUCAUUUUUUUUUAAUUAAUUUAUUUUUCUGCUUACGAUGUAAAAAAGUUUGAAGCGAAGCGGACCACAAGGCAGCCCACACCUUCUGUCUGACCUCCGCUUUUCAUUGCGGUACGUGCGAAACGUGUGUAGCCCAGCGAAUAUUGUGGGCCCACAUGGUGGUUUUGCUUAAUUUGCUCUCUCUCUCUUUAUUUGGUUGCACAGCCGUGAGCCCAAUGAUGUGUCACCAUAUUUGGAAAUGUCAACCAGGUAGAAAAAAAAGAAAACAGGUUUUCAUAAUUAAGAAAUUGAGAUGAUGGAUUGCCAUGAGUCCAUGACCAAUAAAGCCGAAACAAAAACUUGUUUUUAGUGAUUGUACAGUUUAAAGACUUUUUUUAGAAAUCAAAUUAGUUUAUGACGUUGAUGAUGAGAAAAAGUUGUACAUGCGAGUUUGAAGGACGUAUAUAAAUAAUAAGACGUAGACAACUUGAAAGCUAUCUUUACAUGCAAUGCGUUUGAGAAAUAAUAUAUUUUCCGUUGCAAAAUUUGUAAGGUCAGAAGUUCAUUUUGUGUUGAGAUGAACUUCUUAUUUAUGUGAUUGAAGGAUCAAGGAUGUGGUUAGUUCCUUGGAUAUUGAAGAAGAUUAAUCGAAUAAGAAAAGUGUUUCAAACAUAUCUGCUAGGGUUCUAGAGAUAGUACCCUCAUUCAGUGCUACAGAGUUUGAAAUUGACUCGUUCUUUUUAUAAUGAAUUAAUUUUUCAAUAGGAAAUUUCAAGAAUUAAAGCCCUGAUAGUAUUUUUCUUCAAAUUGAGGUUUCAUGGGUAAACAAAUUGUCGUGUUCUUUAUUUUUCGUUUCUCCUAUUUGCAUGAUUGUUGGAAGAAAAAAGGUGAGGAUGCUGAGAAAGACGGCUAUGGAGGAAACACUUGCAGAGCGUUGUUUUUCUCCCUCUUCACAGUACUUUAGGCAUAAGAAAUAUGAGCAAAGGACGACUUCAAAAAGAAGAAAUAUGAGCAAACUAAGGACAUUCAUUUUAAUUAGUUAUUCUCAAGGCAUAAUAACUAAUGAAAUCCUUCUAAUGAGGACCCUUAAGUUGAGGACUAGUUGAGGACUUUUUGGCUUAUCCCACUUUUCGAUCUUAUAUCCACAUCUUAACCGUUCAGUUUAUAGGUAUUUAUGAGUAGAUCAUUUCUGUAAAUUUUCAGCCAUAUUGAAAAUCGUUAAGACAUUCAUAAGUGUGAU